rnacentral:ncRNA from 1 species
UGCUACGGGAGUGCGAUAAAAAGGGAAUCAGGUGCGAAUCCUGAACAGACCCGCUGCUGUAAGUUCCUCCCCAAAUCUUUGAAUACAUCGCAAGCCACUGUCCGUCACCGGAUGGGAAGGCAUUCAAAGACGGAACAAGUCAGAAGACCUGCCAAAAAACA